rnacentral:tRNA from 1 species
AAAGGCUUAGUUAAAUCAUAACGCUAAUUUGUCAAAUUAUAAUUACCAACCCCUAGGUAGCCUUUA